rnacentral:rRNA from 1 species
AUACGUAGGGGGCGAGCGUUGUCCGGAAUGAUUGGGCGUAAAGGGCGCGUAGGCGGCCCGGUAAGUCUGGAGUGAAAGUCCUGUUUUUAAGAUGGGAAUUGCUUUGGAUACUGUCGGGCUUGAGUGCAGGAGAGGUAAGUGGAAUUCCCAGUGUAGCGGUGAAAUGCGUAGAGAUUGGGAGGAACACCAGUGGCGAAGGCGACUUACUGGACUGUAACUGACGCUGAGGCGCGAAAGUGUGGGGAGCAAACAGGAUUAGAUGCCCUGGUAGUCUACACUGUAAACGACGAAUGCUAGGUGUAGGGGGUAUCGACCCCUUCUGUGCCGCAGUCAACACAAUAAGCAUUCCGCCUGGGGAGUACGGCCGCAAGGUUGAAACUCAAAUGAAUUGACGGGG